UACGAAGGGCUAGCGUUGUUCGGAAUUACUGGGCGUAAAGCGCGCGUAGGCGGCUUCGUCAGUCAGGGGUGAAAUCCCGGGCUCAACCUCGGAAUUGCCUUUGAUACUGCGAAGCUCGAGUCCGUGAGAGGAUGGUGGAAUACCCAGUGUAGAGGUGAAAUUCGUAGAUAUUGGGUGGAACACCAGUGGCGAAGGCGGCCAUCUGGCACGGUACUGACGCUGAGGUGCGAAAGCGUGGGGAGCAAACAGG
rnacentral:rRNA from 1 species